UACGGGGGGGGCAAGCGUUGUUCGGAAUUACUGGGCGUAAAGGGCUCGUAGGCGGCCAACUAAGUCAGACGUGAAAUCCCUCGGCUUAACCGGGGAACUGCGUCUGAUACUGGAUGGCUUGAGGUUGGGAGAGGGAUGCGGAAUUCCAGGUGUAGCGGUGAAAUGCGUAGAUAUCUGGAGGAACACCGGUGGCGAAGGCGGCAUCCUGGACCAACACUGACGCUGAGGAGCGAAAGCCAGGGGAGCAAACGGG
rnacentral:rRNA from 1 species